GGUUCGAUUAUGGCUCAGAUUUGAACGCUGGGCGGCAGGCCUAACACAUGCAAGUCGAACGGUAACAGGAAGCAGCUUGCUGCUUCGCUGACGAGUGGCGGACGGGUGAGUAAUGUCUGGGAAACUGCCUGAUGGAGGGGGAUAAAUACUGGAAACGGUAGCUAAUACCGCAUAACGUCGCAAGACCAAAGAGGGGGACCUUAGGGCCUCUUGCCAUCGGAUGUGCCCAGAUGGGAUUAGCUAGUAGGUGGGGUAACGGCUCACCUAGGCGACGAUCCCUAGCUGGUCUGAGAGGAUGACCAGCCACACUGGAACUGAGACACGGUCCAGACUCCUACGGGAGGCAGCAGUGGGGAAUAUUGCACAAUGGGCGCAAGCCUGAUGCAGCCAUGCCGCGUGUAUGAAGAAGGCCUUCGGGUUGUAAAGUACUUUCAGCGGGGAGGAAGGGAGUAAAGUUAAUACCUUUGCUCAUUGACGUUACCCGCAGAAGAAGCACCGGCUAACUCCGUGC
rnacentral:rRNA from 1 species